rnacentral:rRNA from 1 species
CCUACGGGUGGCAGCAGUGGGGAAUAUUGCACAAUGGGCGCAAGCCUGAUGCAGCCAUGCCGCGUGUGUGAAGAAGGCCUUCGGGUUGUAAAGCACUUUCAGCGGGGAGGAAGGCGGUGAGGUUAAUAACCUCAUCGAUUGACGUUACCCGCAGAAGAAGCACCGGCUAACUCCGUGCCAGCAGCCGCGGUAAUACGGAGGGUGCAAGCGUUAAUCGGAAUUACUGGGCGUAAAGCGCACGCAGGCGGUCUGUCAAGUCGGAUGUGAAAUCCCCGGGCUCAACCUGGGAACUGCAUUCGAAACUGGCAGGCUAGAGUCUUGUAGAGGGGGGUAGAAUUCCAGGUGUAGCGGUGAAAUGCGUAGAGAUCUGGAGGAAUACCGGUGGCGAAGGCGGCCCCCUGGACAAAGACUGACGCUCAGGUGCGAAAGCGUGGGGAGCAAACAGGAUUAGAACCCUAGUAGUC